GAUGAACGCUGACAGAAUGCUUAACACAUGCAAGUCAACUUGAACUUCGGUUUGGGUGGCGGACGGGUGAGUAACGCGUAAAGAACUUGCCUCACAGCUAGGGACAACAUUUGGAAACGAAUGCUAAUACCCGAUAUUAUGAUUAUAUGGCAUCGUAUAAUUAUGAAAGCUAUAUGCGCUGUGAGAGAGCUUUGCGUCCCAUUAGCUAGUUGGAGAGGUAACAGCUCACCAAGGCGAUGAUGGGUAGCCGGCCUGAGAGGGUGAUCGGCCACAAGGGGACUGAGACACGGCCCUUACUCCUACGGGAGGCAGCAGUGGGGAAUAUUGGACAAUGGACCGAGAGUCUGAUCCAGCAAUUCUGUGUGCACGAUGAAGUUUUUCGGAAUGUAAAGUGCUUUCAGUUGGGAAGAAAAAAAUGACGGUACCAACAGAAGAAGUGACGGCUAAAUACGUG
rnacentral:rRNA from 1 species